ensembl:lncRNA
CACAGAUGUGGCUCGGAUCUUGAGUUGCUGUGGCUCUGGCGUAGGCCAGCAGCUACAGCUCUGAAUAGACCCCUAGCCGGGGAACCUCCAUAUGCCGUGGGAGUGGCCCUAGAAAACACAUACACACACACACACACACACACACACACACACACACACGAAGCUCCGUAAAACACAUACACACACACACACACACACACACACACACACACACACGAAGCUCCGUGUGGGGCCAGAUGGGAAACAGGGGAACAAACUGAGGCAGGUGCCAGUCUGUGUUAUAGUUAACAUGAAGCCCGCUUUCAGUGAUAGAGGAAACCAUGUGGCUUUUAUGACAUAGGUGGUAAUGAUAAAGGAAUGAGAAUAAUUGGAAAGAGAGAGAAGUCCCAAGUUACCUUUCUUUGUUGUUGUUAGUGUUUUUGUUUUGUUUUUCUAGUGGUGGGAGUGGUGUAUCUUGAUUGAGAGUUAUUUCAAAUUGAAUCAAAGGUUUAGCAAAAUGCUAACCAGCAGGAGUACAAAUAGAGAAAGUUAGCCUUCUUAGGAGGGAGGGAGUUACAUCAGGGCUGCGGUUGGAGGUUUAAGGGGAGGGCAAUUCACCGCAGGAGACUGAGCCAGUUAGAGGUACCAAGGCAUUCUGAUUUCUGGGAUCCAGCAAAUGGGAGACAAAUGUCAGGGUGACAGGGUAAUCAUGGGUAUCAGAGCUGUGAUCUGCUAGUGGCCCAGGCACCCCCUGGUCCAGAAGGAAUGGUGCCCCACGGUUAUUCAUAGGGAGUCGGGGUGGAAAGGCAAGAUUGUCCCACCCAGCUAGAAACUUUGAGAGCUGUGGGCAGGGCCUCCUGGGAUGGAGAAGAAUUACUAACUCCAAGGCUGCAGCUCCCAUGGGCCAGCCCUCAGGGAGCAGUGUGUCAUUAGCAGGAAGGGAUUAAUGACCCAGGACUCCCUGCUCUGGACUCAAAGCAAAGCAUUUUUGGACAUUCAACUCCUCUCCUCUCACCACACAGUUUAAAUCACAUUUUCCCGUUCUGGGAAUUUUGAAGCUUAGUGUGAAUAUCUAGGAGUGCUUUUGAGAUCCUCUGAUGAAAGGUGCAACAGAAGUGCAAAGUAUUACUAUCAACACUGUAAAUAUUUUAAUGACAACAGCAGAAGUGUCAUGUGCAGGCAGAAGAGAUGCACAUGCUGACAUUUAAUAUUCCUAAAAGAACUACGGAUUGUUAGGAAUGGCACAUGCGCAAAAGAAGAGGAGCUGGCUAUGGAGGAAAAAAAAGACAGUUGAGCUAAGUAAGAAACCUCCCUACUCUGCUGCCCAGCAGAAAUGGCACUACCCACCCACACUGAGGCUGAAGCCAGACACCAGGGUUUCCCCUCCAGGUACCAGCCACACACUGAUACCAGGUAUCAGUGACAACUGAUGCAGAAGACAGAGCAAAGCCAGGCCCAGCCUUUAGGCAAGGGGCGAGCUGCUUCUGGGAGUGCUGCUGUCCCAUUAGCAGGCAGGCUCUGGGACAGACCAGCCUGGCAGCUGACUGUCGUGCAAGGAGGGGCUAACAGAGGCUUCCCCUGACAGCAGCACAGUCGGCCCGUGGUUGUUGACAGGUGUCAGGCUGACCCUGGAGCAACUUAGAGCUGAGGGACAGGGUGAUGCAUGACCAGGCAGAGUUUUUCACCACUAUGG